UUGGUGAGGAGCCUGCCUUCAGGACUAGGGGCCUGAGCAACAGCCUUGUUAAUGGAAACAUCCUCAUCUGGCACAUAACUGAGUCUCCUCCUCCAUGAUGUAGCAGAUUUAAGCAAAUGGUGAUACCAAUUGCUUAGUAUAUAAAUAAAUAUUUAAGUAUUUUUUCAAGGAAAUUCCACGAGAUUACAAACUGUGGGACCUUGUAGAGUCCAAUAUAUUGACAAAAGUGCCCACCCAGAACUGUGACUUGAUCAACAGAUUCAACGUAAGAUAGUUUUGAGAAGGCCACUUAUGUCUGCUUUGUAAAUCUUUACAGGGUUCAUUCCUCUCAGGGGAAGAAAAGCUAGCAAAGGAAGGAUCAAUCCUAGUAACAGCUGCAGCUGUCACCAAUCAUGACAUGCUAAAAAGAGCUGUGAUUCAGCAUGAAGAAACAAUUAGCCUGUUCCCUCCAGAGCCCAAGAUGGACCUUUGGAGUAUCUACCCAGCAUUUCCCCCAUUUGGAGCAGUUGAGGUACGAAGAUAUGCUAAGAUGUGGACGGCUAUCCUUCACCUUGGACACACUACCAGCUUUUCUGAACACUGCCCAAAAGGGCUCUUGAAGAGGGACGCAUGUAUCUGGUUCCAGUACUAGGAUUGGCAGAAGCAGCUCCUGCCCUGAGCUGAGGCUCAGGUUGGCCCUGAGUGACACGAGCACCUUUGGAGAGUUGGGGAGCAGUGACUGAAGCUUGGGGACCACUCUGGCUGCUCUGAGAUAAAAAGACUACAGGGACUCAGGACUGGGAAUAUGGAGAACAGAGGAAGGAGUACAUCUGUGAACAGUGACUUCCACCUGCAUUAAGGAAAAAGCCUCUUUCUGAAUCAACUCGUUUCCCUUCUAAUUCACACUGAAGACUCACACUAUGGUGACUGCCCUAAAUAAAUUCAUCAAGGCGAAUUUGUGCUUUUUCUGGACUAAACUUUGUGCUCUGACUUAAAAUAACAGUCAUUUUAGACAACAUUAUUAAAUCUAUCUUAUUCUAA